GGCCGUAGCGCGGUGGUCCCACCUGACCCCAUGCCGAACUCAGAAGUGAAACGCCGUAGCGCCAAUGGUAGUGUGGGGUCUCCCCAUGCGAGAGUAGGGAACUGCCAGGC
rnacentral:rRNA from 1 species